rnacentral:rRNA from 1 species
GACGACGACUCCUACGGGAGGCAUCAGUGGGGGAAUCUUGGACAAUGGGGGCAACCCUGAUCCAGCCAUGCCGCGUGAGUGAUGAAGGCCUUAGGGUCGUAAAGCUCUUUCGCCUGUGAUGAUAAUGACAGUAGCAGGUAAGAAACCCCGGCUAACUCCGUGCCAGCAGCCGCGGUAAUACGGAGGGGGUUAGCGUUGUUCGGAAUUACUGGGCGUAAAGCGCGCGUAGGCGGAUUAGUCAGUUAGAGGUGAAAUCCCAGGGCUCAACCCUGGAACUGCCUUUAAUACUGCUAGUCUUGAGUUCGAGAGAGGUGAGUGGUAAUUCCGAGUGUAGAGGUAGAAAUUCGUAGAUAUUCGGAGGAACACCAGUGGCGAAGGCGGCUCACUGGCUCGAUACUGACGCUGAGGUGACGAAAGUGUGGGGAGCAAACAGGAUUAGAUACCCUGGUAG